rnacentral:miRNA from 1 species
ACCUGGGAUCUUGUGAAAAUGCAAAUUCUGAGUCAUGAGUGGAACCGAAUUCUGCAUUUUUAACAAGCUCU